rnacentral:tRNA from 1 species
GUUUUAAUAGUUUAAAUAAAACAAUGAUUUUGUAAAUCGUAAAUAGGAACUUAUCCUUUAAAACU